rnacentral:rRNA from 1 species
UACAGAGGUCCCAAGCGUUGUUCGGAUUCACUGGGCGUAAAGGGUGCGUAGGUGGUCGGGUAAGUCUGAUGUGAAAUCUCCGAGCUCAACUCGGAAAUGGCAUUGGAUACUAUUCGGCUGGAGGGUUGGAGGGGGGACUGGAAUACUUGGUGUAGCAGUGAAAUGCGUAGAUAUCAAGUGGAACACCAGUGGCGAAGGCGAGUCCCUAGACAACUCCUGACACUGAGGCACGAAAGCUAGGGGAGCAAACAGG